CUGGCUCCCAUCCUACACUAGGUGACUAGGUGUGUGUUACGGUCACUGAUGAUGCCUUGGGGAAAGUAGUUUGUCUCUGAGCAAGAUUUGAAGCCAAGCUGCCUUGUUCCUAAAAAUGGCUACAAAAGUCCAUUUUCUCCAUUUGCAUCUGUGAGAUUUUAACUUAUGGAGGUACGGACUGAGUGACGACAAGGAGAGGCCGAUGCUAUUGAAAGUAGAAUUUAUUACUUGCUCUUCUGAGAGGAGAAACGCCACAUCAUGCAGAUUCUGUCAGAAGGGACAAAGGAGCGAGGGGAACACUUAGGCUAGAGCCUUGUUUCUGCAGGAAAGAUUCUGGGGUGUCACACAUUUUACAAUCUGUUUACAGCCUGCACAGGGAAAAGAAGAAGAAAAGCAAUGACAAAGAAAAAAGUUAUGAGAAAACCUCCUACCACACAAUCUAUUUUUCAGUAGCACUACUAGGCAACCUGUAAAUUCACAUCAGGCCUGCAGCUGCCUGUUGCCAGUUUAGAAUCCUGGUUGCCAUUCUAGGAAGAAGUCUAUGUUAUAACUGCAGAUUUCACCUCAUAAAAACAAAUACCACCCAACUCCUGCCCACACAAGAGCAUUUAUGUUGUGAAUUAUUCACUGUAUCUAAUUUUCUUUUUGGGUAGAUAUUUUUGUAAGAGGUGUAAAAUAUUUAACAGA
rnacentral:lncRNA from 10 species